GCCAAAAUGCCACAUCACAACCCAGGACAGUCCAGUUAACCCAGACCACCUUAAGGAAGCUUCCUCCAGCCGACACCAGAUUGUGUGUCUAAACUGGGCAUGGCCACCCUUAAAGUGCCCUUCUCCCCUCCCUCCCAGCAGCAUCUAGGCGCCUGGCCUGCCCCCUCCUUCCUCCCGCCCCUGCAGGCCCCACCCGGGACGUCCCAGAAGUGCCUCUUCCCGCAGGCAGCCUGGGAGGCUGGCGAGAUCCUGCAGCCAGUCUCGCAUGGAGGCGUCCCAUGAGUAAGUGGACACCGUGCCCUCGGACCCACUGAGGCAGCCAAGCACACACCCACCCUGCAGACACCCCACCUGGCCUUCUCAGACGCCUGCCCAGACAGCCACACAACAGGGAACUGCGGGCUCGUUCCUCUCCCUCAAUCCCCAUCCCACCGAACGCCAACCCGGAACACGGGCCGUCACCCCCCCCCCCCCCAACGCAUGCACCUAUAAAGCACAAGUGUAAGCGAGACUGUGUGUCCCCAAACGCGAGCACACUGGAGUGUGUGUGUUUGCAUGCGCACACAUGGGAACAUAUGGAAAAACAAGAGAGGGACAAGGGCUCCAAGCAGAAGGUGACUCAUCAGGCAUUAACUUGUUUCUGCAAAGUAUCCAUCAACUGCUAAUAAACUCGUGAGCGCUGGCAA